CAUGGUAAUGCUGCCCGAACCCCAAUCCGGGACGAAACGUCCGAAACCGACCACACCCAAAAACGACGCUUUCGCCAUAGUGCUAUCUACCAAACCAUACAAGUUUUGGCUAUUCUGAGGUGCUUAUAUGGUUCAGAGAUAGUGCUUUUAGGGGUGGUCAUUGGUAAGUGUGAAAUGCCUAGCACUGAUAUUUCACAAGAAAAUGACCAUGUAAUACUCAUAGUCAAACGUGAAUUUGUGGCUUACAACUUCAGAUAAACAGCAGUGGACCUACAUUACCUUUUUUCCUAAAUCUUUUUGAUAGAAACAUAAUUGGUACUUAUUUAAUUAUAUUAUCACUGUUUUGGUUUAAAAUGGUUAAUAUUUUGUGACCGAAAUAAUAAUUUGAAAUGUAUUUACCUCCUGCAAAUGGACGUAUUUGGCCAAAUUCUCCACUUUACUCCGCUGUUUAUCGCAGAUCUCGUUGAAAUCCUUCCAAAUAUUCAGUUCAGCUCAAACAUGACGGUAUUAAGCACAUUUUAAACAAGUUUUAACUGGGUUUCAAGUAGAUCCUAGCUGUUUAACCAUCGACAAGGUAAAACCUCAAUUUUGUCCAAAUUCGGCGCCAUUUUGUCAUCCCGUUCGGUUGUCCACAAUGCGGCCUCGUUAUUCUUCCAUCCAAGCCAUUUAACAAGAAAUAAUGACAAAUGCAUUGUAUCACCCUGUAAGAUGUUGCUUACGAGUCUUUCAAAACAUUGCGUACAAAUCUCGUGUGGCAAAGUAACAGGGACGUGCAGCGUUACCAUGUUGACCGUCAUGGUCAACUUACCCUAAAACAGUUGAGAUUAUCUGUCCUAAAUGAAAUGCAUACAAACUCAUAUACAGGUCCUAGACUAUAAGGAUGAAUAAGCCAAAACUCUAGUCUAUUUCUAGAUUUUGGGAAUUUAACUUCCAGAGCAGCUAGUGCAGACUGUUGAAAACUAUCAUAUAUAUAAGAAUACAAACAUCCAGAUUUCGUGAUUUUUAUUUGUGAUUUAAUAGUAAUAUAGGUACCAUAGGGGCCGGAUUUUUGUGGUGGAGUGUUUUGGGGGUGCGUUCAUUAAAUAUUCAGUAAAUGAUAGUGAGGUGGAUGAGCGAGAGC